rnacentral:rRNA from 1 species
UCCUGACUGACCGAUAGUGAACCAGUACCGUGAGGGAAAGGCGAAAAGAACCCCGGCGAGGGGAGUGAAAAAGAACCUGAAACCGUGUACGUACAAGCAGUGGGAGCACGCUUAGGCGUGUGACUGCGUACCUUUUGUAUAAUGGGUCAGCGACUUAUAUUCUGUAGCAAGGUUAACCGAAUAGGGGAGCCGAAGGGAAACCGAGUCUUAACUGGGCGUUAAGUUGCAGGGUAUAGACCCGAAACCCGGUGAUCUAGCCAUGGGCAGGUUGAAGGUUGGGUAACACUAACUGGAGGACCGAACCGACUAAUGUUGAAAAAUUAGCGGAUGACUUGUGGCUGGGGGUGAAAGGCCAAUCAAACCGGGAGAUAGCUGGUUCUCCCCGAAAGCUAUUUAGGUAGCGCCUCGUGAAUUCAUCUCCGGGGGUAGAGCACUGUUUCGGCAAGGGGGUCAUCCCGACUUACCAACCCGAUGCAAACUGCGAAUACCGGAGAAUGUUAUCACGGGAGACACACGGCGGGUGCUAACGUCCGUCGUGAAGAGGGAAACAACCCAGACCGCCAGCUAAGGUCCCAAAGUCAUGGUUAAGUGGGAAACGAUGUGGGAAGGCCCAGACAGCCAGGAUGUUGGCUUAGAAGCAGCCAUCAUUUAAAGAAAGCGUAAUAGCUCACUGGUCGAGUCGGCCUGCGCGGAAGAUGUAACGGGGCUAAACCAUGCACCGAAGCUGCGGCAGCGACGCUUAUGCGUUGUUGGGUAGGGGAGCGUUCUGUA